rnacentral:rRNA from 1 species
UACGAAGGGGGCUAGCGUUGCUCGGAAUCACUGGGCGUAAAGGGUGCGUAGGCGGGUCUUUAAGUCAGGGGUGAAAUCCUGGAGCUCAACUCCAGAACUGCCUUUGAUACUGAGAGCCUUGAGUUCGGGAGAGGUGAGUGGAACUGCGAGUGUAGAGGUGAAAAUUCGUAGAUAUUCGCAAGAACACCAGUGGCGAAAGCGGCGACCUGGCCUGACAUUGACGCUCAUGCUCGAGAGCGUGGGGAGCAAACAGG